rnacentral:rRNA from 1 species
CCUACGGGUGGCAGCAGUGAGGAAUAUUGGUCAAUGGGCUUACGCCUGAACCAGCCAAGUCGCGUGCGGGAAGACUGCCCUAUGGGUUGUAAACCUCUUUUGUCAGGGAGCAACGCCGGCUACGUGUAGCCGGACUGAGAGUACCUGAAGAAAAAGCACCGGCUAACUCCGUGCCAGCGGCCGCGGUAAUACGGGGGAUGCGAGCGUUAUCCGGUUUUAUUGGGUUUAAAGGGUGCGUAGCCGGAAUGCCAAGUCGGCGGUAAAUGCGCGGGGCUAAAUCUCGCUCCGCCGUUGAAACUGGCGUUCUUGAGAGGGCGAGAGGUAGGCGGAAUGCGUGGUGUAGCGGUGAAAUGCAUAGAGAUCACGCAGAACUCCGAUUGCGAAGGCAGCAUACCGGCGCCCAACUGACGCUGAAGCACGAAAGCGUGGGUAUCGAACAGGAUUAGAUACCCGAGUAGUC